rnacentral:rRNA from 1 species
AUGAACGCUAGCUACAGGCUUAACACAUGCAAGUCGAGGGGCAGCAUGGUCUUAGCUUGCUAAGACUGAUGGCGACCGGCGCACGGGUGAGUAACACGUAUCCAACCUGCCGUCUACUCUUGGACAGCCUUCUGAAAGGAAGAUUAAUACAAGAUGGCAUCAUGAGUCCACAUGUUCACAUGAUUAAAGGUAUUCCGGUAGACGAUGGGGAUGCGUUCCAUUAGAUAGUAGGCGGGGUAACGGCCCACCUAGUCUUCGAUGGAUAGGGGUUCUGAGAGGAAGGUCCCCCACAUUGGAACUGAGACACGGUCCAAACUCCUACGGGAGGCAGCAGUGAGGAAUAUUGGUCAAUGGGCGCAGGCCUGAACCAGCCAAGUAGCGUGAAGGAUGACUGCCCUAUGGGUUGUAAACUUCUUUUAUAAAGGAAUAAAGUCGGGUAUGCAUACCCGUUUGCAUGUACUUUAUGAAUAAGGAUCGGCUAACUCCGUGCCAGCAGCCGCGGUAAUACGGAGGAUCCGAGCGUUAUCCGGAUUUAUUGGGUUUAAAGGGAGCGUAGAUGGAUGUUUAAGUCAGUUGUGAAAGUUUGCGGCUCAACCGUAAAAUUGCAGUUGAUACUGGAUAUCUUGAGUGCAGUUGAGGCAGGCGGAAUUCGUGGUGUAGCGGUGAAAUGCUUAGAUAUCACGAAGAACUCCGAUUGCGAAGGCAGCCUGCUAAGCUGCAACUGACAUUGAGGCUCGAAAGUGUGGGUAUCAAACAGGAUUAGAUACCCUGGUAGUCCACACGGUAAACGAUGAAUACUCGCUGUUUGCGAUAUACAGCAAGCGGCCAAGCGAAAGCGUUAAGUAUUCCACCUGGGGAGUACGCCGGCAACGGUGAAACUCAAAGGAAUUGACGGGGGCCCGCACAAGCGGAGGAACAUGUGGUUUAAUUCGAUGAUACGCGAGGAACCUUACCCGGGCUUAAAUUGCAGAUGAAUUACGGUGAAAGCCGUAAGCCGCAAGGCAUCUGUGAAGGUGCUGCAUGGUUGUCGUCAGCUCGUGCCGUGAGGUGUCGGCUUAAGUGCCAUAACGAGCGCAACCCUUGUUGUCAGUUACUAACAGGUUCCGCUGAGGACUCUGACAAGACUGCCAUCGUAAGAUGUGAGGAAGGUGGGGAUGACGUCAAAUCAGCACGGCCCUUACGUCCGGGGCUACACACGUGUUACAAUGGGGGGUACAGAGGGCCGCUACCACGCGAGUGGAUGCCAAUCCCCAAAACCUCUCUCAGUUCGGACUGGAGUCUGCAACCCGACUCCACGAAGCUGGAUUCGCUAGUAAUCGCGCAUCAGCCACGGCGCGGUGAAUACGUUCCCGGGCCUUGUACACACCGCCCGUCAAGCCAUGGGAGCCGGGGGUACCUGAAGUGCGUAACCGCGAGGAGCGCCCUAGGGUAAAACUGGUGACUGGGGCU